ensembl:lncRNA
ACAUCUUGAUUUGUAGGGAUGACUCCUGGCAAAGGAGUUAGGGCCAAAACCUUCUCUGAGGUUGGAAAAGGUCAGAGCGGGCAGGGCCAGCAGCAGAAUGGCAUCACUGCUCUGGGUCUCUCUGUACUCCAGUGGCAGCAGCAGAGAAAGGGCAAAACCGGGUAUGGAAGAAACGGAUGACAAGGCACAGAGCUUCUCACCCUGCAGCCUGUGACAUCCUCCCCCGCGUGCAGUCUUUUCCAGCCAUGUGUGAGUUAUUUGCUAUCCCGUGCCAAAACUGUGUUCCUACAGAGAUCGUUGAGGUAACAGUCACAUAACUGAGUACCUGGUUGUGUCCACUUAAAUCAGCUCCCGGAGCAGAACCAUCUACCUUAGGAAAAGAGGCAGCAGUAGAGCCCCUACCAGUAGGAGAAAUUAAUGCAUUACACUUCGACAGAGAUUAAUUAUUAUGAGUCAGUCUAAAAAUACGUUUGUCCCCUGUGGGAGUACGCGCUCUUCUAUUCAUCAAGUCGCUUUCAAAUAAUCAUUAAACAUCUUAAGGCAGAAGACAGUUUUGCUCGUGCAAAAGAAACACUGCUAAAAGUUACACGACAAAGACCAUCUUUUUCAAUUUUCAAUUUUAAAUCAUAAAAGCAUCUGCAGCAUUCUGACCCAGAGUAGUUCCCCACAAGUGAGACAGACAAAAUGUCUGCUGGGAAAAAUGUGCAGAGGACUCUGAUAACUGCAGCAUAUUUUUUUUCAGUUGCCAAUCAGGGUUGAUGUUUCCAAAUAACUUUUAUUGAAUUAAAUUUAUAUAAGGUCUUCCAGUCUCAGCUGUAGCCUCGGUGGCAUCUCAAAUGGAGAUGGAUCAGAUUUAAAGGCCAAAAGUCACUUUUGUGGUGUUUUGGGGAAAAGUGCAUGAGUAGAAUGAUGGAUUUUUUUUUUUGGUUUGGUGGGACAAGGUCUUGCAGGUAUAAACUGAUAUAUUAACAGAGGUGCUUGGCACCCCUGAACCACUGGUUUCUGGCACUUGAUUUUCCAGGUGUGUCUGGGCGGUCCCUGCAGACUCAUCCUGGUGGCAAUGCUCUGGUAGAAG